rnacentral:rRNA from 1 species
GUGGGUAACCUGCCUUAUAGUGGGGGAUAGCCUUUCGAAAGGAAGAUUAAUACCGCAUAAGAUUGUAGUAUCGCAUGAUAUAGCAAUUAAAGGAGCAAUUCGCUAUAAGAUGGACCCGCGUCGCAUUAGCUAGUUGGUGAGGUAAUGGCUCACCAAGGCGACGAUGCGUAGCCGACCUGAGAGGGUGAUCGGCCNCAUUGGGACUGAGACACGGCCCAGACUCCUACGGGAGGCAGCAUG